rnacentral:rRNA from 1 species
AGUGAACGCUGGCGGUAGUCCUAACACAUGCAAGUCGAACGGCAGCACAGUAAGAGCUUGCUCUUACGGGUGGCGAGUGGCGGACGGGUGAGGAAUACAUCGGAAUCUACUUUUUCGUGGGGGAUAACGUAGGGAAACUUACGCUAAUACCGCAUACGACCUACGGGUGAAAGCAGGGGAUCUUCGGACCUUGCGCGAUUGAAUGAGCCGAUGUCGGAUUAGCUAGUUGGCGGGGUAAAGGCCCACCAAGGCGACGAUCCGUAGCUGGUCUGAGAGGAUGAUCAGCCACACUGGAACUGAGACACGGUCCAGACUCCUACGGGAGGCAGCAGUGGGGAAUAUUGGACAAUGGGCGCAAGCCUGAUCCAGCCAUACCGCGUUGGUGAAGAAGGCCUUCGGGUUGUAAAGCCCUUUUGUUGGGAAAGAAAAGCAGCAGGUUAAUACCCCGCUGUUCUGACGGUACCCAAAGAAUAAGCACCGGCUAACUUCGUG